rnacentral:rRNA from 1 species
UACGUAGGUGGCGAGCGUUGUCCGGAUUUACUGGGCGUAAAGAGCGCGCAGGCGGUCGUUCAAGUCGGGUGUGAAAGCCCCCGGCUCAACUGGGGAGGGUCACGCGAUACUGAUCGACUCGAAGGCAGGAGAGGGUAGUGGAAUUCCCGGUGUAGUGGUGAAAUGCGUAGAUAUCUGGAGGAACACCGGUGGCGAAGGCGGCAUCCUGGACCAACACUGACGCUGAGGAGCGAAAGCCAGGGGAGCAAACGGG